AUACGUAGGUGGCAAGCGUUAUCCGGAAUUAUUGGGCGUAAAGAGUGAGCAGGCGGUUAAUUAAGUCUGAGGUUAAAGCGUGGGGCUCAACCCCAUACAGCCUUGGAAACUGAUUGACUAGAGUACGGGAGAAGUGAAGGGAACUCCAUGUGUAGCGGUGAAAUGCGUAGAUAUAUGGAAGAACACCAGUGGCGAAGGCGCUUCACUAGACCGAACCUGACGCUCAGUCACGAAAGCGUGGGUAGCAAAUAGGAUUAGAUACCCUAGUAGUCCACGCUGUAAACGAUGACAACUAAAUAUUGCCGCGAGGCAGUGUUGAAGCUAACGCAUUAAGUUGUCCGCCUGGGGAGUACGUACGCAAGACGGCAACUUAACGGAAUUGACGGG
rnacentral:rRNA from 1 species